CAAACGGUCCUUUUCAGGACCAUCGAAAAU
rfam:Aedes albopictus isolate Foshan contig160256, whole genome shotgun sequence.